rnacentral:rRNA from 1 species
UGAACCUACGGGAGGCAGCAGUGAGGAAUAUUGGUCAAUGGUCGGGAGACUGAACCAGCCAAGCCGCGUGAGGGAUGAAGGUACAGAGUAUCGUAAGCCUCUUUUGUCAGGGAACAAAGGCGGGGACGUGUCCCCGGAUGAGUGUACCUGAAGAAAAAGCAUCGGCUAACUCCGUGCCAGCAGCCGCGGUAAUACGGAGGAUGCGAGCGUUAUCCGGAUUUAUUGGGUUUAAAGGGGGCGCAGACGGUCUGUUAAGUCAGCGGUCAAAGCCCGGGGCUCAACCCCGGCCCGCCGGUGAAACUGGG